rnacentral:rRNA from 1 species
GGAAUAUUGGACAAUGUGCGAAAGCCUGAUCCAGCAGUGCCGCGUGAGUGAUGAAGGCCUUAGGGUUGUAAAGCUCUUUUGCCAGGGACGAUGAUGACGGUACCUGGCGAAUAAGCCCCGGCUAACUUCGUGCCAGCAGCCGCGGUAAUACGAAGGGGGCAAGCGUUGUUCGGAAUUACUGGGCGUAAAGGGCGCGUAGGCGGCUUAUCGAGUCAGGCGUGAAAUUCCCGGGCUCAACCUGGGGGCUGCGCUUGAUACUGAUGAGCUUGAAUGCGGGAGAGGAUAGUGGAAUUCCCAGUGUAGAGGUGAAAUUCGUAGAUAUUGGGAAGAACACCGGUGGCGAAGGCGGCUAUCUGGCCCGUGAUUGACGCUGAGGCGCGAAAGCGUGGGGAGCAAAC